GGAUGUGAGGGCAAUCUGGUUACGACAUCUGUCACCCCAUUGAUUGCCAGGGUUGAUUCAGCUGAUCUGGCUGGCUAGGUGGGUGUCCCCAUCCUCCCUCACUGCUCCAUGUGCAUCCCUCUGUAAGCUGCAAUCUCAGUCAAAGAGGAUGACCAUUCCCAAUAGAGGAGGACCAUUCUUUGGUUGAGUGUUUAUGAGUAGCUGCGUUCUCCUGCUAGAACCUUCAAACAAGCUCUCAAGAAUGUGCUUAUUUUACAGAUGAUAAAUAACAAGGUCAGGGUCAUCAACAAUUAAGCAAGAGUCCCAAGAUCUUUUUCACAUAAGUUUUACACAAUUUAUGAUGUUCUGUGAUAAAC
rnacentral:snRNA from 1 species